UUACGGAAACACACGAACUGUACCGAGAGUGUUAAGACUACACGUCCGGUAACCGCACUAAACACCAUAUAUUCCUAUUUGAAUCCAAGUAAAAUGAGUAUAUUUUUCGAGACUCUACCUUUAAUCGGAUAUAUAAAUAGCGCGCUAUAAAUAGCCUACAGAACAGAAUUAUGUCAUCACCUGAGUACUAGUCGAAAUAAUUACACGUUCAUACAUGUAUUGUUUUAUAUUUGUGACGCUGACGGGCAAUCUAAAUGGGGAUAUUGCCCAUAUGAAAAAUAUCACAAUAUUUCCUAGGAUCGCGUCAAAUUAGUUGGACUACUAUUGCUUAUUCAAAGGAGACAUGAUAUUGAACAUUUUGAGAAAUAGCACUGUGGUCAGCAUUUGUCUCACGUGAACUGUGGAGACAUUUGGAUACUGUACCUGAAAGUUCAUCACAAAGUGCUGGUGUUUUGAUAUCUACAAGAGCAGACGGCAACAGAAUUGGAGGUUACCCAAAUCUAAAGAUGUUGAGGAGUACAAGAAAUAACAAAAAAAAGCUAUGAAAACAAAUGAAAUAAAAACAACGUGAAAUU